GAGGCUUUACAAGGAACUGGACUUAGCUGCAAGGGAACCGGUGAAUGACGGGGCUCAGAGGGCCUGAGCUCUGCCUCCUGAGAUGGGAGGAGCACAC